rnacentral:rRNA from 1 species
GAUGAACGCUGGCGGCGUGCCUAAUACAUGCAAGUCGAGCGAACAGACGAGGAGCUUGCUCCUCUGACGUUAGCGGCGGACGGGUGAGUAACACGUGGAUAACCUACCUAUAGGACUGGGAUAACUUCGGGAAACCGGAGCUAAUACCGGAUAAUAUAUUGAACUGCAUGGUUCAAUAGUGAAAGACGGUUUUGCUGUCACUUAUAGAUGGAUCCGCGCCGCAUUAGCUAGUUGGUAAGGUAACGGCUUACCAAGGCAACGAUGCGUAGCCGACCUGAGAGGGUGAUCGGCCACACUGGAACUGAGACACGGUCCAGACUCCUACGGGAGGCAGCAGUAGGGAAUCUUCCGCAAUGGGCGAAAGCCUGACGGAGCAACGCCGCGUGAGUGAUGAAAGUCUUCGGAUCGUAAAGCUCUGUUAUUAGGGAAGAACAAAUGUGUAAGUAACUAUGCACGUCUUGACGGUACCUAAUCAGAAAGCCACGGCUAACUACGUG